rnacentral:lncRNA from 1 species
AUGUAGUACAUGAAGUCUUGGCAAAAAAAGGUGUGCAAGAUGAAAAUGCAAUAAGGUUUCAUUAUUGACAACAUGAGAAAGUUUGCUAGAAUUAUUCUUACAAACAUUAUUAAUAGCAAUAAUGCUCUCAGUUCUAAAAAAUUGUAGAUGGUGUAAUCCAUUAUGAUGUUCAGCUGUACUAAUCAUCUUCCUAGUUAGAGCAUUCUGAAUCAAAUAAUGGUUACUAUUAAAAGUCAGGCACGAAGAAGAAAUAUGUAAUAAUUUGCUAAUAGAAAUGAGAUUAAGUGAAUAAAUGGGUACAAAAAGGGCAUCAUAUAAAGUAAAGUUAGGUAUAAGAUGCACAUCUCCAACAUUAGUUGCACCUAUAAUUUGUGCAUUUGGUAGCUUGAUAUGUGUGCUACGUAUAGGUCUAAAGUAAGUGACAAAUUCAAUAGAACUUACUAUAUGGUCUGUAGCCCCAAAGUAAAAAAUCUAGUCACCUUUUUUGGCUGUAUUUAAUUAUUGUAAAGUGAGGAAAUUAUUAUCUUGUUCAGCACAUGGAUUAAAAUUGACUGAAAGAUUAUUUAUUUGUAGCAUAGCUGCAUUACUGUAUGUGG